rnacentral:rRNA from 1 species
AGAACGAACGCUGGCGGCAGGCCUCAAACAUGCAAGUCUAGGGGGUGUAGCAAUACAUCACCGGCGGACGGGUGCGUAACACGUGGGAAUAUACCUUUUGGUUCGGAACAACGCAGGGAAACUUGCGCUAAUACCGAAUGUGCCCUUACGGGGAAAGAUUUAUCGCCAAAGGAUUAGCCCGCGUAGGAUUAGCUAGUUGGUGAGGUAAUGGCUCACCAAGGCUCCGAUCCUUAGCUGUUCUGAGAGGAAGAUCAGCCACACUGGGACUGAGACACGGCCCAGACUCCUACGGGAGGCAGCAGUUGGGAAUCUUGGACAAUGGGGAAACCCUGAUCCAGCCAUGCCGCGUGAGUGAUGAAGGCCUUCGGGUUGUAAAACUCUUUCGACGGGGACAUAAUGACGGUACCCGUAGAAGAGCUCCGGCUAACUUCGCGCCAGCAGCCGC